AUUGAACGCUGGCGGCAUGCCUUACACAUGCAAGUCGAACGGCAGCACGGGAGCUUGCUCCUGGUGGCGAGUGGCGAACGGGUGAGUAAUACAUCGGAACGUACCCAGUAGUGGGGGAUAACGCACCGAAAGGUGCGCUAAUACCGCAUACGACCUACGGGUGAAAGCGGGGGACCGUAAGGCCUCGCGCUAUUGGAGCGGCCGAUGUCUGGUUAGCUAGUUGGCGGGGUAAUAGCCCACCAAGGCGACGAUCAGUAGCUGGUCUGCGAGGACCAUCAGUCAAACACGGACGGAGACGCGGCCCGGACUCCUACGGCGGGAAGCGGUGGCGAUUUUUGGUGAAUUGGGGCAACCCUGGUCAGGCAACGCAGGGUGGGCGAAGAAGGCCUUCGGGUUGUAAAGCACUUUUGCCAGGGAAGAAAUCUUUCAGGCUAAUACCCUUGGCAUGAUGACGGUACCUGAAGAAUAAGCACCGGCCAACUACGUGCCAGCCGCCGCGGUAA
rnacentral:rRNA from 1 species